CUACCCGUGAUUCAUCAAUUUCUCCCAGCGGUUAGCUUUUAUACUGACAUAUAUAAAAGAUGCAUUUUUUAACUAUAAUAUUUUUUGUGAGCCUUUUUUCCGGUGUCAUGGGAUUGAUGCCUAUUUGUGGGCAGCACUCAACAAAGUUUCCAUGCAUAAAGCAUGGGUUUAGUACUCUGCACGUUGGGGAGAAAUCUAGUGCCACAAAUCUAAUUGAGAUACUAUUACCUAAAGACAUGGCAAAGCGUCUGCCUUUGCAAAACUACACUAUGAUGUCUGGCUCGCACAGCAUUUCUGUUGGGUCCGAUAUAACUGAAGACUAUUUUACAAGAGAGGAAGCGGAAAGAUGGUCUUUGAACAUGAAUUUUACAAAGUCCACAAAGAACUUAACCCUACUUAUCAUGGAAUACACAGUACAGAAUGUGAAGUUGCCUGAUGAGUUUCGAUCUGAAAUAGUAAUAAGUGCAGAAAGUGAGAAUUUUAUGUAUCCACUUAAACUUUUUGCUGUGGGCGAGGAUUCUUCUGAAGCAACUCACGAAGCUAUUACUAAUGAAGAGGAUUCCCCAGACCCAACCUCAUUACCACUGACAGUCUCUGAUAUGGGCAAGGAUAACCAAGAGCCUGACGAUUCUGACGAAGCUACUACCAACAAAGAGCAUUCCCCAGACCAAACCUCAUCACCACCAAAUAAGGACAAGUACAAGAACCUGUUUAUAGCUUCAUCCAUCCUGAAUGUGUUUUUUUUCAUUCUGUGCUGGUGCUACAGGCAUACAUGUAUGAAGUUAUGCUGCAAAACCGUACAAUUUCUCCAAAUUGCAGGGACCUACAUGUAUUCCCAAGCACCUAAUCAGGAUGGGAACCAACAGGGAGCACAACAAGCUAUCGCUCCGCAACUGAACCAUCCCUACCAACCUGUCUCUACAAGGCAAGAAGUUUAAAAGUGAUCCUGAUGCAAUAGAAUGCCAAUGCUUCUUCUGACCAAGAUUUUGAAGUAACCACCAAUUUUUCAUCAGUGGCAUUCCUGGCAUCAUCAUUUGAAUUCAACUGAUAAACAAAGGCAUCUUGUAUUAGGACUGUAACUUGCCCAUUCUUAUUCUUUUAUAUUUGCAGUAAUGAACUAGAACUGUUUUUUUUUAAUGUUUAGUAAUGUAUUUGAACCUGCAAUUUCCUCAUGUUCUUGCCAGGAUCAACCUUCCCUCUCUAUUGUUUCCUACUCCAAAUAAAUCCUUUAACUUUGAUCCCCUUCCUUACUUUUUUUUUUUUUUACAAACAUGAACUCCCUUGAUCCUGGCAAUAUGCAAAGAGUAUGAAUGCAAUUUUGGUAUUUAAAUUCAAUUGUAUCAUAGGAUCAUGAUGAAUAGUACAUCUUCACUGUGUAUAAUUCACAUGCAUUUCAGUUUGUUAAACUAAAAUACGUUAAGAAGUUUAAUACAUACAAUUUCCAUCCAUCAUGUUGAAUAAACUUCCCACUGACCCAACCAAUCAUCCCUCCCCCCCCCCACCAUAUGCCAGUGUUUCCUAUUAGCAUAUUCCUUGCCAAAGAAUAUACAUGGGCCAGUACCAUAUUUAGGAUACAUCAUACUCUAUAUAUGUAGAUCUAUAGAAAAUUAUAAAUCCAAAAAUAAAUUUAUAUGAAAGCUUCCAAUUUAGAGUGCCUUUUUAUGUGACAUACAAUGUUCUCAUCAUGUACAUAUACUUUUCAAUGGACAUUCAUCGUGCUACAUGUAAAUUGCCUUGUUUUUUGUGUCUGUUAAUCUGGCCCCAAUGGCCUUUCAUUCUGUUCUGACUUGGUAUCAUUUAUACAUUUUUUUGUGACCAUUAUGGGUAAUAGGUUAGCAAUUGGUUAUACAUUUGGAGAAUAUAUUUGUUCUAAAUUUAUUAGAAAAAAAUUUCUACAGUCUCUGUGUAACUAUAUUCCAUUCCACAUUUAGCACACUAGAUGUUUAACUUUUUGUUAAAUUCACUGCAUAUUAUUGCAUAUCUUAUAGCAUUUUGCAAUUUGGCUCUAUUGUAUUGUAUGUCCAUGGCAUAUUAAUCAUGACUGAUGACAAUUAAAGCUGCUUUAUUUUGUCAAUCGCCUACUAUUAAGAUUUAAAGAAAAAAUAAUAGUGUAAAUUCUAAACUGUUUAAUAUGCUGCACCAUAGCUUAUUAAAGACUUUUAUUACCAAGUGCUUCUUUUAAUGUUCAUGUAUAAUCAUGUAUAAUUCUCUUCCUUGAUUGUUUUUUUUUUUGGGGGGGGGCAACAAAUGAUUUUGUUACUGUCAAUACUCUUGAAACAAAUUUCAGGGGUGAUCUUUUCUGACAACUUUGUGAAAAGUGUGUGACAUAAUCUAUGAGCUGGUGCCUUUAAAUGUUUUUAUAAAUAAAUGACAAUACUGUUCACCAUAACAGUAUCGUAUACAUAUAUAUUAUGUGUAACAUGCAAUUUGCCCUAUAUGGUCAGGUAUUUUCUUUAACUAAAUGUCAACCAAAUAUAUGUAUGCUAAUAAACCCUGAGGGUGAUAUAAGUGCAGCACCUCCAGGCAGAUUACCAAAGACAA